GAAAUGCGAUAAGUAGUGUGAAUUUCAGAAUUCAGUGAAUCAUCGAAUCUUUGAACGCACAUUGCGCCCCUUGGUAUUCCAUGGGGCAUGCCUGUUCGAGCGUCAUUUGUACCCUCAAGCUCUGCUUGGUGUUGGGUGUUUGUCCCGUCUCCGCGCGUGGACUCGCCCCAAAGUGAUUGGCAGCCGGCGUACUGGUCCCGGAGCGCAGCACAUGUCGCGCAAACGAGUGCCUUGGUACGGCGGCGUCCAUAAGCCCCUCUCUCACGCUCUUGACCUCGGAUCAGGUAGGGAUACCCGCUGAACUUAAGC
rnacentral:misc_RNA from 1 species